rnacentral:rRNA from 1 species
UACGUAGGGUGCAAGCGUUAAUCGGAAUUACUGGGCGUAAAGCGUGCGCAGGCGGCUUUGCAAGACAGAUGUGAAAUCCCCGGGCUUUACCUGGGAACUGCAUUUGUGACUGCAGGGCUGGAGUGCGGCAGAGGGGGAUGGAAUUCCGCGUGUAGCAGUGAAAUGCGUAGAUAUGCGGAGGAACACCGAUGGCGAAGGCAAUCCCCUGGGCCUGCACUGACGCUCAUGCACGAAAGCGUGGGGAGCAAACAGG